UUGGCUCAGUGCUUUAUGUAUUAUACUGUCCUAUUUAACAGAGGAACAAUCUGAGGCUCGGAGAGGUCCAGUAACUUGCUCAGUGUCAUAAGUUGAGGAAAGGAAGAAGCCAGGACCCAAACCCACAUCUGCCUGACAUCUGAGCCCAGGGUCCUCCCUCUGGGCCCCCUAGCCUUGACAUCCUAUGAUUUAAGGACUUUGUGGAUUUCUGAAAAUGUUUUCAUCUACUGUUAUAUUGGCCCCUCCAAGGAACCUUCUUAUAAGCUCAUUCUGAUGAAGCAAACUGCCACGCUGUGAGCUGCCCUUUGGAAAGGCCCAUGCUGCAUGGCACUGAGGAGCCUCCAGCCAGCAGCCAGUGAGGAGCUGGGUCCUGCCAGCCACCAUGUGAGUGAGCUGGGAAGCGGAUCCAACCCCAUUUCAGCCUUGAGAUGGUCACAGCCCCCCGGACAGCUUGCUUGCAGCCUUGUGAGGGACCUUGAGGCUGAGGACCCAGCUAAGCCACACCCAGAUUCUCAACCCAGAGAAACAAUGAAAUGAUAAACUGUGCUGGCUUUUAAGCCACUAAGUUUUGGGGUAAUUUGUUACACAGCAAUGGACAACUAGUACAGCCAGUAACAUAGGCAGAUAUGAGACAGUGCAAACUAUUUUAGAUUUUAGUGGUUAUCCUUUGGGUUUUAGAGUGCUCCAGGCAGGUUCUUAACCUGGCACCCACAUGUAAUCCAUCUGACCUUCUGAUUCUGAACCUUCCUGAUUCAUAAAAUCUAUGCAUCAUCUGAAGUUGGAUGGAAACCGAUGUUGCUUUAUUAACAUCGAGGUGGUAGGUGGGCAAUGGGAGGUUGAGAGAGAUGGGGACUAACCUCGGGCUGACAACCUAUUGAACUCUGGCCCUUGCAGGAUGUUUUGCUGAAUAAGUAUCUCACUGAUCCUUAAGGUAUCCAUGAAUCCUGAGGUGUGCAGUUAAGUAACUCACCGAGGAACAACCAGUCAGUCAGAGGCACGGCCACGACCUUCCUGCAGCUCUGCCUUUGAGACCAGCUGUGUGCCACAGGGUUCUGACCUUACUCCCACCAGUGGCCCUUUCCAGAAACAGCCGGUCCACUGAGUGAGGACUGAUGGUGGAGAAGGCAGAAAACCCAAGACACUUUAUUGUUCCCGGGGAAAUAUGCCCAGGAAACCUUUCCAGGGAAGUUGAAGAAGCUGCAUGUUGGCUAUGGCAGAGGUAACAUUCUGCCAUUGCCUUCUACUAGCAGAACCCCUGUUAUGAUUGGGAGGGUCUACCAGCCCCAUAAAUUUCCCAACCCCUCUUGCCAUAGAGGGUACCCAAUAAGAUGUAAGUUGAAGUCAAUGGGAGAAGCUUCUGGUCAAGAGUUUUAAAAGUGCUGACUCACCUGAGAGUUGCCUCCUCUUGCACUUCUGGCCCCUUCUUGGUGCCGGGAAUGUGGACAUAAUGGCUGGAGCUGCAGCAGCGUUUUGUGACCAUGCAAAGACCUUGACAGAGGAAGCCACUCUCUGAGGGUAGCAGAGCACAAAGAUAGAAAGAGCCUUGGCUUCUUGGAAGGGAUGACUGGGGAGCCAUCAUUCUAGUCUUUGACUGUUUGCAUCAGGGCUUAUUUUAUAUGAGAGAAAAGAAAGUAAACUCUUGUAGUUUAAGCCACUGUUAUCUGGGUUUUCUGUUACAGGUAUCUGAUACUAGCCCUGAGUGAUAUACUUGCAUUCUUAGUAAGGUAUUUAAGCAGAUUUGGGGAUUUCAUUUUUAAAUGGCCAGGAUCCCAGACUCUCAAAAAAAAGUUCCCCUUCUCCCUCUCUUAGUUAAACAGUUAUUAGUGUACUCUCCAGAAGACGGGGCACUGCAAUUCCUGAGCACCUACUUUACCCCACGCACUGUGCUCAAGUCGUAUUCUUCGUACUUGCCUCACGGUGAAUUUGUGAGAUGGGAUCACCAUUCCAUGUUAUGGAUGAGGAAAUGGAAGUUGGACAGACUGGACCACUGUUCAGGGAGACACAGCUAGAAUUUGAACCCAGACCUCUCUGACUCCAUGGCCCAGACUUUCUCUGUCUCCUGGAUGUAGAACUCUGUGUUCCAGUUUGGGCAGAAGGUGGGGCCAGUUGGACCAUUCGGAGGGCCCUGGCUCAGGGUGCCAUCCCUACCCCCAAAUCUUCCACCUGCAGCCACAGGCCGAAGUCUGCUCCACUGCAAGGUGAUAAAGCAGACAGCCCAGCUGGCCGUCCUCUCCUCACUCGCUGCCAUCCUAUUUAGUGGCCAUCUGGCUUUCAUCUCUGUGAUUUUCUGACUGUCCCUCCUCAAGGUCCCUCUUAAAGAGGCAGACGCCCUGUUUGCCUUCAGUAAAGGACCUCCCCCCAAGCCAGUGCACCCCCAGCCUUUACCAGGGCAAGCCUGCCUGACAAAGAAAAGGCCACACAACAGGGGUUUCUGUUAGCAACACAAGUCUAUUUCAAACCUCGGAUUAGAGUAUCCGAAAGGAUUACCUGUUCCAAGCAAACACAUUCCCACCCUCUGGCAGAAAUGCGGCUGGAGCAGCCUGACGCCACGGCAGGCUCCAAAUAUUCUCCAUCGAAGCUUGCUUUAUCCUGUUUGAAACUCCUCUGUCUGUCCCCAGAGAGUCUGGAAAUACACUCUUUCUAGGAGCUGGUGGAAAAUGAACCCACAUUGUGAGAGAGCUAGGUGAUGCUGAAUUGGGGACAGGAAGGUCCAUUUGAAAGGGGGGGAAAAAAA